rnacentral:rRNA from 1 species
GACGUGAUAAGCUGCGAUAAGCUUCGGGGAGGUGCAAAUAACCUUUGAUCCGAAGAUUUCCGAAUGGGACAACCCAAUAUCUUGAAGAGAUAUUAUCCAACUCAGUUGGAGGCUAACGCAGGGAACUGAAACAUCUUAGUACCUGCAGGAAAAGAAAAUAAUAAUGAUUCCCCCAGUAGUGGCGAGCGAACGGGGAAUAGCCCAAACCGGUUAUGUUACGGCAUAACCGGGGUAGUAGGACUACGGCAUUGCAUGAAAACAGCAGAGAAGAACUUUCUGGAAAGAAAGACCAUAGAGCAUGAUAGUUGCGUAUUCGAAUGUUGUCGAAGCAUAGUAGUAUCCUGAGUAGCGCGGAGCACGAGGAAUUCUGCGUGAAUCGGCCGGGACCAUCCGGUAAGGCUAAAUACUCCCGAGAGACCGAUAGUGAACCAGUACCGUGAGGGAAAGGUGAAAAGCACUUCGAACAGAAGAGUGAAAUAGUUCCUGAAACCGUGCGCCUACAAGCGGUCGGAGCAGCGUAAGCUGUGACGGCGUGCCUUUUGCAUAAUGAACCUACGAGUUACCGUUGCCGGCAAGGUUAAGGGUCAUGAGACCUGUAGCCGAAGCGAAAGCGAGUCUGAACAGGGCGUAUAGUCGGUAGUGGUAGACGCGAAACCAAGUGAUCUACCCUUGAGCAGGUUGAAGUCCGGGUAACACCGGAUGGAGGACCGAACCAAUAAGCGUUGAAAAGCUUCUGGAUGACUUGAGGGUAGGGGUGAAAGGCUAAUCAAACUUGGAGAUAGCUCGUACUCCCCGAAAUGCAUUUAGGUGCAGCCUUGACCAUUACUAAUGUGAGGUAGAGCGACUGAUAAGAUGCGAGGGCUUCACCGCCUAUCAAGUCUUGAUAAACUCCGAAUGCGCAUUAGUUUGAGGUCAGGAGUGAGGGCAUGGGUGCUAAGGUCCGUGCCCGAGAGGAGAAGAAUCCGGACCACCUGCUAAGGUCCCGAAAUAACAGCUAAGUUAAACUAACGAAGUCAGAUUGCUAAGACAGCUAGGAUGUUGGCUUGGAAGCAGCCAUUCAUUUAAAGAGUGCGUAACAGCUCACUAGUCGAGGAGUUUGGCGUGGAUAAUAAUCGGGUAUUAAGCUGUUUACCGAAGCAGUGGGAUCAUAUAAUGAUCGGUAGGGGAGCAUUCCACUCUGCGUCGAAGGUGGGGCGUGAGCCCUGCUGGAGCGUGUGGAAAAGCAAAUGUAGGUAUAAGUAACGAUAAAGGGGGUGGGAAACCCCCUCGCCGCAAGACUCAGGUUUCCUGAUCAACGCUAAUCGGAUCAGGGUCAGUCGGGUCCUAAGGCUCAGCCGAACGGCGAGGCCGAUGGCAGAACCGGUUAAUAUUCCGGUACUACCCUUUAGGGUGACGUGGAGACGCAGUCGUGACAAUGCCGCCAGCUGACGGAAUAGCUGGUUAAAGGGUGUAGAAGUUGAUUGUGGCAGGCAAAUCCACCACAAGAUUCGAACCUGACAGUAUGGAGCGUCCUUCCGGACAAUCCAAUAGUGCAUGUAAUCAUACUGCCAAGAAAAUCCGCUAAACAUAACCUUCAGGGUACCCGUACCGCAAACGGACACACGUAGUCGGGUUGAAUAUACUAAGGCGCUUGAGUGAUUCACGGUUAAGGAACUAGGCAAAUUAACCCUGUAACUUCGGGAAAAAGGGUCCCUACCCGUUAUCGGGAGGGCGCAGAGAAUCGGUCCAGGCAACUGUUUAACAAAAACACAGGGCUGUGCGAAGUCGAAAGACGCUGUAUACAGCCUGACACCUGCCCGGUGCUGGAAGGUUAAGAGGAGAUGUCAUCGCAAGAGAAGCAUUGAAUUGAAGCCCCAGUAAACGGCGGCCGUAACUAUAACGGUCCUAAGGUAGCGAAAUUCCUUGUCGGGUAAGUUCCGACCUGCACGAAUGGUGUAAUGAUCUGGACACUGUCUCAACCGUGAGCUCAGUGAAAUUGUAGUAUCGGUGAAGAUGCCGAUUACCCGCGAUGGGACGAAAAGACCCCGUGAACCUUUACUAUAGCUUAUCAUUGAAUUUGGGCACGUGAUGUGUAGGAUAGGUCGGAGGCUUUGAAGCAGGCACGCCAGUGUUUGUGGAGCCGCUGUUGAAAUACGACCCUUCAUUUGUUUGAGUUCUAACUCGUAAUACGAGGACACUGAUUGGUGGGUAGUUUGACUGGGGUGGUCGCCUCCAAAAGUGUAACGGAGGCUUCUAAAGGUGCCCUCAGACCGAUUGGUAACCGGUCUCAGAGUGUAAUGGCAUAAGGGCGCUUGACUGGGAGACUAACAAGUCGAGCAGGUAGGAAACUAGAGCAUAGUGAUCCGGUGUUUCCGCAUGGAAGGGACAUCGCUCAAAGGAUAAAAGGUACUCCGGGGAUAACAGGCUGAUCCCUCCCAAGAGCUCAUAUCGACGGAGUGGUUUGGCACCUCGAUGUCGGCUCGUCACAUCCUGGGGCUGGAGAAGGUCCCAAGGGUUGGGCUGUUCGCCCAUUAAAGUGGCACGCGAGCUGGGUUCAGAACGUCGUGAGACAGUUCGGUCUCUAUCUAUCGUGGGCGUAUGAAAUUUGCGUGGCUCUGACACUAGUACGAGAGGACCGUGUUGGAC